GAUGAACGCUGGCGGCGUGCCUAACACAUGCAAGUCGAGCGGAGAAUUGUUGCUUGCCACCCUUCUUAGCGGCGGACGGGUGAGUAACACGUGGGUAACCUGCCCUAAACAAAGGGAUAACAAUGAGAAAUCAUUGCUAAUACCGUAUAAGCUUACACUAUCGCAUGAUAGAGUAAGAAAAGAUUUAUCGGUUUAGGAGGGGCCCGCGUCUGAUUAGCUAGUUGGAGAGGUAACGGCUCACCAAGGCGACGAUCAGUAGCCGACCUGAGAGGGUGAUCGGCCACAUUGGGACUGAGGCACGGCCCAAACUCCUACGGGAGGCAGCAGUGGGGAAUAUUGCACAAUGGAGGAAACUCUGAUGCAGCAACGCCGCGUGAAGGAAGAAGGUUUUCGGAUCGUAAACUUCUAUCUACAGGGAAGAAAAAAAUGACGGUACCUGAGGAAGAAGCCCCGGCUAACUACGUG
rnacentral:rRNA from 1 species